rnacentral:lncRNA from 1 species
GUUUCAGGAAGAAAUGACUUGCACCUUGACUGGCCUACCCGCUUCAAUAUAUUGUUGGGAACAGCAAGAGGACUUGCUUACCUUCAUGAGGAGUCAAGGCCCAGGAUUGUACAUCGAGAUGUCAAAGCCAGUAAUAUUUUGCUCGAUGCAAAACUCUCCCCAAAAAUAUCAGAUUUUGGAUUGGCAAAGCUUUAUGAUGACGAAAAAACCCACAUUAGCACCCGGGUUGCAGGGACAAUGUAAGCCUCCGUUUAAGUUAUACAUUGUUAAUCGUGACAAGGGUGUAACCCAAGCAUCAUUUUUAGUAACCAUUUCAUGAUCUUGUAGAGGUUAUUUGGCACCGGAGUAUGCAAUGCGUGGACAUCUGACAGAAAAGGCUGAUGUUUUCGGUUUCGGGGUUGUUGCUUUGGAGAUCAUCAGCGGGAGACCAAAUUCUGACAACAACUUGGAUCCUGAGAAGAUUUAUCUUCUUGAAUGGGUAGGGAAACUUAGCCUAGCUACUUUAUUUUAGCAUUGCUGUGAAAACUUCUUUAUUUUUUUCCUUUUUGACCAUGCCAUGAUGUUUGUUUUCAGGCAUGGACUCUACAUGAAAAUGACCAGAGUCUGGGGCUGGUGGAUCCGAGAUUGACAGAGUUUGAUGAAAAUGACGCAACUAGAUUGAUAAAAGCAGCUCUCCUCUGCACUCAGGCUUCACCAAUGAUGAGGCCAUCGAUGUCACGUGUGGUGGCAAUGCUUUCUGGAGAUAUUGAAGCAAGCACUGUUAUGUCAAAGCCAAGUUAUUUGACAGAUUGGGAUUUCAAAGAUGUAACCACCACAAGCAGCUUUUUGUUGGAUGAUGAUACCUCAUCAACUGAGAGCAUUGUUGUCCACAAGUAGAAUUAGAUGAACUGAUGCUUGGAUGCUUGGAUGAAAUGCUUAAAGGCUUUUAUAAUACGAAAAAUCCAACGUUAACUUACGUAGAGCAGUGGAAUCUCUGACCAAACAAUAACCUAAACCAGUGAAAUGGGGUUAGAGUUCCAACUUUCAAUGCCAUAUUUUUCUUUUUAUAUUGUGGAGUUCCACGCGCGCAUCCACAGUCUUUGUCCAACAAGUGUGCUGCUAUUUCCAACCAUUUGUCAUAUUUUUUCAUUCACCAUAUAAAUUUGAAAAAAUACAAUCCUGUCAUUCCACAAACCAUUAUUCCUAAACUACCCUUCAAUGUGAACACACUCAUAUUGUGGCAUGUGUAUUGACAAACUAUAUAAUAAUAAAUAAAUAAACAAUAUUAAAAAAAUAAAUCUCCAUCUUUUUCUCUCUCCUCCGCCUUUCUUCUUGGGGAGUGCUAGCAACCUUCUCUAUAACCUUCUCCUUUGGACAUUCUCCUUUUUUUGCUUGACAUGUGUCAUUCUCCUUACACUUAAAACAAUGUCAUUAAUAUAUUAUACAAGUUAACUUUUGCUUUCAAAGUUUACCCUUAUUAAAUGUAUUUAAUUUAUCCAAAAAAAAAUUCACAACUUUCUUACCAUCUUAUUAAUUUUUUUCUAACGUUAAUUAUUUUUUUUUAAAGAAAAUAUUUUCUUUUAAGAGGAAAUGUUUGGGUUUUUUUUUAAAAAAAAUUUUAACACAAGGAAAAAAAAAAGUCCUUUGUGUUUAAAAAAAAUAUAUAUAUAUUUCCUCUUUUUUGAAAAAAAACUGACAUUUUCUUUGAAAAAAAAAAUUGACGUUUUAAAAAAAAAAAUUGGUAAGAAAGUUGUGAAAUUGUUUUGGAUAAAUUGAAUACAUAUAAUAACGGUAAACUUGGAAAGCAAAAGUUAACUUGUAUAAUAUAUUAAUGACAUUGUUUUAAGUGUAAAAAAAAUGACACAUGUCAAGCAAAAAAGGGAGAAAAUUCAAAGGAGAAGGUUAGAGAGAAGGUUGCUAGCAUUUCUCUUCUUGGAAAUACUCAGACAAAAGGUCUGGGAAAUUAAAGAGAAAACUAUCUUUCUCUUGGAAUUUCUUAGCCUACCCAACUAGGGGUGGGCACGGUCCAGUUCUCACCUCAAAUCGGAAUCGAAACCGGUACUAUUUAACCAGUCCGGUUUGGGCAAAUUUUUUUAUAUAAAAACCAGCUAGUUUGGUUAUGACCGAUUCCAGUUUUGAACUGGAUUAUUAAUUUAUUAAUUUAAAUUUAUUUUUCAAAAAAAAAAUAUUUUUAAAAAAAAUUAACAAAUGAUCCAAUUCAUACAAUAAGAAAUUUUUUGAAGUUGAACUUGGAAAAAUAGUAAUUAUAAAUUUAAAAAAAUAGUAUUGGAUUUUAAAAUUUUGUAAUAAAAUAAAAUAUAAAAAUAUAACCGGUCUAGACCGGUGCGGUACGGUGUAAAAUCGGAAUCGAAACCGUUUCUGUCCGGUUUGUUGACUUUUUUGGUCAACCGAUUUUGUUCUUAUUUUUUUCACCGAUCCGGUUCGGUGUUCCAGUUUUCCGGUCCCGAUGACCACCCCUAUACCCAACCCAUAACCUUUUUUUUUCCCUUUUCUACCUGGAAAAAUAAACCAUUUUAUUUGAAACAAGAUCAACUUACAAACUGUUGCAGAGACAUUUUAGCGAGAGAAAGGGAGAAACUGGAAUCAGGAAAAGAAAAACAAAUAAAAGGUAUCAAAUUAUAAUCUCGUAACACAUUUUCGGUGGUUUAAAGAAUUUCGGGAACUUACCAACCCCAAACCCAUUUUUGGUCAAGAUUCCAAAUCACUAUACCCACUCAUUUUGAUUCCAAAAUUUGAUGAACGAAACAAUAGUUGUUUCAAGCGAAAAUCGCAUCACCACCGAACCUGGGGUGUUGGAGAGGAGAGAGAGAGAGAGAUAGAGAGAUAGAGAGAGAGAGAGAUAUAUAUAUAUAUAUAUAUAUAUAUAUAACAUAGAACAGAGAUAGAAGGAGGUGGUGUAGGUGGAGGAGAGAAAGAUCGGGGUGGGGGAGCUCCGUCGGGACGAGGGCCUGGGAUAAGUUGGUGCGGCUGAGAAGGUUAUUUAUUUAUGAUUUUACUCUUUCUUUUCUUUUUUUAAGGAAAAGAGUUUUUUUUAUUAAUAUUUUUGUCCUUAGAAGUCCUUAGGCCAUCUCCAAUCCUUGGACUCAAACCCAAAAUAUCCCCUCAAACCUCUCCCAACCCAACAAAAUAAAGGACCCAAAAUUUGUAAAAACCCAAAUAUGGGUCCAAGUAUUGCCCAGACCCAAAUUUUUUCGUGGAGCCCACUUUCAUGUCAAACAGCCCCCAUGUGCAAAGAUUCCUCCGUGGUCCUCACCUUUUUUGUUUUUUUUUUUUUUUGCUGCUGCCAUCUUGUCUUCCACAAGCACCACUUGUCAAAGCCCCAUUGAGUUGCUGUUGGAUUUGAAAUUAUUUGCUGUUUGUUUUUUUUUUUGUUUUUUUAUAUAUACAUAUAACUUAAAUCAACGAUGUGGAUUAAAUCUAAGCUAUUUUAACGGUAAAAAAAAAGAUCCAACGGCUGAAAUUUAAAUUCAACAAUCAAAAUAAUAUUUUAAAUUAAUCUAGAUCAGAUCCAACCCCAAAACUCACUCCAAACUCUAUAAAUACCCAUCCAUUUCUCAAAUAAUCUACUAAAAACAUUUAAUCUAUUUCUCAAUUUAUUUUUCCUUUGUCAAUCUCAUCAAUCUCCUUUCAUUCUUGUUGAAGAUGUCCACAAACUCUCCUUUCAUUCUUCUUUUAGAAUUACGUUGUGUGUUUUCUUUUGGAACAAAAUUAUAUUUGUGGAAUUUAAAUUUCUUUAGGUCAAAUUGUUCAAAAAAUUUAAUUAUGAAGUUAUUUAAAAAUAUUGAAUGAAGAAAAGUUAUCAAUUAAAAAAAAAUAGACUUAAACCAUUUUUAAACAAUUUAAUAAAGUUGCGGACCUAAAAUUUGAGUUCAUAGGGUUGGAAAAAAAAACAAUUUGAGUCCGGGCAAAACCCAAAUAGUCACUUUUUGGAGGGGGUAGCUUUAGCCCCUCAUGGGUUGGAGAAGGCCUUAUAAUUAAGUCAUUUUACAAAUGGGUGAAUAGUACCAACAUUUACCUCCCCUUACCUUUUGGCAUGGCAAAUGGGUGAAAAUGCUCUUAGCACUCGAACUAAUUUAUAUUGCAAAUUUUAGACCAACCGCUAGAUUUAAGUCAAUUUAAUCCAAAUUGCUAUUAAAAAUUACAUGAGGCGCACAUGUAACCUAAUUUGAGGGCAAUUUGGUCAUUCUACCUUUUCCCUCUUGAAACCCAUCGUCCCCCUUUUCUGAAAACUUGAAAAGCAAACUAGAAAAAGAAAAUGAAGUUUGCAGCCCACCUCGAGAAAAUAUGCAUAGAAAUCAAGUUCCCCAUUUGGCAACUCUAUUUGUACCAAAAUACUCCAACUAUUUGUGAUUUGUGAUUAUUUUGUAUAUCAAAACCAGCUAUGCUUGGCAUAGAACAAAAUAUCAAUAAUUUCGCCGAUAUUUCGGCGAAAUUAUCUUCUUUUUUUUUUUGCAGCGAUAUUUUGGCAUGUUUCCAUUCAUUUAUCGUCAAUUUAUCGAUAAUUUCACGAUAAUAUCGGUAGUGAUAUUUUCAUUCAAAUGGCAGCUGCAAAUGAUCAACAUAUCGCGAUAUUAUCGAUAAUAUCGCGAUAUGAACUUUCAAAAAUGAAAUAAUUCACUUGACUCACGCACACAACGGUUCGAACCCCUCCCUCCUUCCAAGUUCGGAGCAACUUAACCACCACGCUAAUCAUCACUUGGUGAUUAGUACUAGGUAUUUAUAACUCUUCCAAGCUGUUUCUCAAAAUAGAAAAUAAUUACUUAUUGUUCUAUAUUGUUGAUCAAAUAUUUAAUUACUUAAUAUAAUUUAUUUAUUUCCUAUUUAAUCCAUUUAAUGGUAUUGCUUAUUUUAUUAUUCAUUAUAAGUACUUACAUUACUAAAUUCCCCUCCAAAUUGUUGCUUAAUUACUUAAAUCUCUAUAAUCAUUUUCUUUAUUUCCUAUUUAAUUCUUCCUUGGAUAACUUUAUUUAUGUUCUUAGUUAAUUUUCAAUCUUCACUAUUAUUUUUUAAGCAUGGUAAAGUGCUUAACUUUCAUGACAAAUCAAGUUGGUUUACAUCUUUAAUUAUUUUUCAAGUUUUAAUAAAUAAUAUAUAUAAGAACGUAUACCAUGUCAUGUCUAGUGAAUAACGUGAAAUAAAGUUACUCAUGUAUCUUACCAUACAAUUUAUAAACUGUAAACUAUUGUAGUAAAAAUGAUAAAUAAAUUACUAGAGGGUGUUUAAUUUUCUUUCAUUAAUUACUCUAGAUUUUCUAAGUCACAGAAUUUGUCAGUUCGUAAUAUAAUCAACUUAAAUAACUCAAACCUACUAUGCAAUACAUUUCCUUCCAAUAUUUUGUGUUAAAAUAAUAGAUGAUUGACUAAAUAAACUUUUUACUAAGUUUCAUUAAAAUUUUCCAUGUAUUUAUCACAAUUUCCGUGGUUUUUAUCCAAUUUUUAUCGAUAUCGAUAUUUUCCCGAAAUUUCCAUCAAUAUUUUCGUGUUUUUGAACUACCGAUAUUUCCGAAACCCUAGAUACACUACUACAUUUUACACUUUGCGCGACGAAGUUAAUUUCGUCGCGCAAAAUAAAUUGUGGUCGCACAAAUUUCAGCGCCACAAAAACUUCGUCGCGCAGAAUCCAUCGCGCAAAGAUCGUGAAGAAAGACUUUGCGCGACGAAGGUUUUUCAUUGGUCGUGCAAAGUUACUUUGCGCGACGAAAAAAUAUUGGUCGCGCAAAGUAACUUUGCGCGACGAAUGCAAAGUGACUUUGCGCGACGAAAAAUAUUGGUAGCGCAAAGUUUUGCGCGACGAAAUACAUUGGUCGCGCAAAGGUUUGCGCGACGAUAAACAUUGGUCGCGCAAAGUUUUGCGCGACGAAAAACAUUGGUCGCGCAAAGUCUUAAAAAAAUUCCCGCGUCAAAUUUUUGGUACCCGCCCAAAUUUUUAGAGUUUUACGCGACAAAUAGUAACGUCGCGCAAAUAUUUGCGCGACGAAAUAUUUUUUGUUUUAAAUUUUUUUAAUUUGAAAUAAACUAAUUUAAUAGUUUGCGCUACGAAAUAUUUUUUCUUUAGUAUGAAUUUAUUUAUAUGAAUUUUUUCAAAUUUUUACUUUUUAAAUUUAAUUUAAUUGUAUGAUUUCUUUUUAAAAUUACUUCAAUUUAAAUUGACAUAUUCAAAAUAAAAUUACAUAUGAAAAAUAGUGAUCAAAUUAUCCAAUAAAUAUAAAUAUAUAUUCAAAAUGUACAUAUAAAUUAACAAAGUACAAUAAUAAAAUCCUAAUACAAGCGCAUUGUGGUGGUAGUGGCGGAGGAUAUGUUUUGAUAGCUUCCUAAUCCUCAACUUUAGCCGUCAAAGUCUCGAUGAUUCCCUACAAAAAAAUAAAUAUAGUCAAAUAACAACAACAACAACAACAAAAAUAAUGCACAAUCUCCCCUAAAAUUGUUAUACCACAAAUCCAACCCAAACUCCAAUCUCUCCCCUUUACUCAACCCCAAACCCCACACAAACUCAAAACUAACUCCAAAAACACAUAUUAAUGAAAAAAAUUUAAAAUUUGGAGAGAAUAUACCUUUUGGCAAGAUUGAGAGUGAGUGAGAAUGAGAGGGAGAAGUGAGUGUGAGAGAAUUAGAAAAGAUAGUGAUAGAGAGAUGAGAGAGUGAGAGAUAGUGAAAAGAUAGAUGAGAGAGUGAGUGAGAGUGAGAGAUAGUGAAGAUAGAGAUGAGAGAUUAAGUGAGAGGAGUUAGUGUGAGAGAAAGGGUGGGAUUUGGGGAAAGGGAAAGAGAGAGGAGAGGUAAGAGUAGAGAAAGAAAUUGAGAAAAUGGUGGAGGAGUUAUUUCAGUUUUAAAAAUCGUAUCACUUUGCGCGACGAAACUAUGGUUGGUCGCGCAAAGUUUUGCGCGACGAAACAUAUUGGUCUCGCAAAGUUUUGCGCGACGAAUAGAGGAAUAUUGGUCGCGCAAAGUCUAAAAAAAUUAUUUUUUAAAAAAAAAAAUUCCCGCAUCCCAUUUUUGGUACCCGCCAAAAUUUUUAAAUUUUUGCGCGACGAAAAAUACUUAUUGGUCGCGCAAAGUCUAAAACAAUUAUAUAUAAAAAAUUCCCGCGGCCCAUUUUUGGUACCCGCCCAAAUUUUUGCGCGACGAAAAAUAUAUAAUGGUCGCUCAAAGUUUUGCGCGACGAAACAUAUUGGUCUCGCAAACUUUUGCGCGACGAAUAUAGGAGUAUUGGUCACGCAAAGUCUAAAAAAAAUUAUUUUUUUUUUAAAAAAUUCCCGCAUCCCAUUUUUGGUACCCGCCAAAAUUUUUAAAUUUUUGCCCGACGAAAAAUACAUAUUGGUCGCGCAAAGUCUAAAACAAUUAUAUAUAAAAAUUCCCGCGUCCCAUUUUUGAUACCCACCCAAAAUUUUUGCGCGACGAAAAAUAUAUAUUGGUCGCGCAAAGUUUUGAGCGACAAAAAAUAUUGGUCGCGCAAAGUCUAAAGUUUUUUUUUUAAUUUUAAAAACCCGCAUCCCAUUUUUGGUACUCGCCCAAAUUUUUUGAGUUUUGCACGAUGAACUGUUGGUCGCGCAAACUUUUGAGAGACGAAAAAUUGGUUCGUAGCACAAUAUUUAUAAAAAUAAUUGUUAUGAAUAAUAAAAAAUAAAAAAAUUUAUUUUAUGAUUUAAAAUAUAAUUAAGGUGAAAGCUACUUAAUAAAUGUAUAUACUAUUCAAUUUCUUAAGUGUUAUACGUACAAAAUAAAUAAAUUUAAAGCUACUUAAUAAAUAUAUGUAUAUAAAUAUAUAUAUAUAUAUACACACACCAUUCAACGAUCCAACCAUAAGACUUGUUUGUAUAUACUUCAAGAUCGUAUACCCCAAAAAUCGCAAAAAACAAACAUUCAGAGAUCUAGUAACGGGACAAAACUUUUCGAUAGUUAUAAAUGAAAAAUCACGAUUUAACGGUUAUUUUAACUCCGAUUUUGAUGAUUUUUUUACAGCUACACUCCUUGACCCUAUAUGAAUACAAUGACUGAAUUUGAUCUUCAAUUUAAAACAUUUGCACUAGUGGAUACCACAAAAUCUUAUGUUAUAUUUAACGAAAAUAUAAAUAAACUCUUAAUUGUUAGUGAAUAUAUUGUUUUGAUGGCAUAUGCAUUCUACGAAACUAGUUUCAACGAUCCAACCGUCAAACUUGUUUUUUAUACUUCGAGAUCAUAUACGCCAAAAAUCGGAAAAAAUAAAUAUUCAUAGAUCAAGUAACGGGACAAAACUUUUCGACGGUUAUAAAUGAAAAAUCAUGAUUUAACGGUUAUUUUAACUCCGAUUUUGAUGAUUUUUUACAGCUACACUCCUUGACCCUAUAUGAAUACAAUGACUGAAUUUGAUCUUCAAUUUAACAUAUUUACACUAGUGGAUACCACAAAAUCUUAUGUUAUAUUUAACGAAAGUAUAAAUAAACUCUUAAUUGUUAGAGAAUAUAUUGUUUUGUUGGCAUAUGCAUUCUAUGAAACUAAUUUCAACGAUCCAACCGUCAAACUUGUUUUUUUAUACUUCGAGAUCAUAUACGCCAAAAAUCGGAAAAAAUAAACAUUCAUAGAUCAAGUAACGGGACAAAACUUUUCGACAGUUAUAAAUGAAAAAUCAUGAUUUAACGGUUAUUUUAACUCUGAUUUUGAUGAUUUUUUACAGCUACACUCCUUGACCCUAUAUGAAUACAAUGACUGAAUUUGAUCUUCAAUUUAAAAUAUUUACACUAAUGGAUACCACAAAAUCUUAUGUUAUAUUUAACGAAAGUAUAAAUAAACUCUUAAUUGUUAGUGAAUAUAUUGUUUUGAUGGCAUAUGCAUUCUACGAAACUAAUUUCAACGAUCCAACCGUCAAACUUGUUUUUUUAUACUUCAAGAUCAUAUACGCCAAAAAUCGGAAAAAAUAAACAUUCAAAGAUCAAGCAACGGGACAAAACUUUUCGACGGUUAUAAAUGAAAAAUCAUGAUUUAACGGUUAUUUUAACUCCGAUUUUGAUGAUUUUUUACAGCUACACUCCUUGACCCUAUGUGAAUACAAUGACUGAAUUUGAUCUUCAAUUUAAAAUAUUUACACUAGUGGAUACCACAAAAUCUUAUGUUAUAUUUAACGAAAAUAUAAAUAAACUCUUAAUUGUUAGUGAAUAUAUUGUUUUGAUGGCAUACACAUUCUACGAAACUAGUUUCAGCGAUCCAACCGUCGAACUUGUUUGUUUAUACUUCGAGAUCAUAUAUGCCAAAAAUCGGAAAAAAUAAACAUUCAUUGAUCAAGUAAUGGGACAAAAUUUUUUGACGGUUAUAAAUGGAAAAUCAUGAUUUAAUGGUUAUUUUAACUCCGAUUUUGAUGAUUUUUUAUAGCUACACUCCUUGACCCUAUAUGAAUACAAUGACUGAAUUUGAUCUUCAAUUUAAAAUAUUUACACUAGUGGAUACCACAAAAUCUUAUGUUAUGCUUACGAAAGUAUAAAUAAACUCCUAAUUGUUAGUGAAUAUAUUGUUAGUGAACAAAAAAAAACUAGUUUCAACGAUCCAACCGUCAAACUUGUUUGUUUAUACUUCGAGAUCAUAUACGCCAAAAAUUGGAAAAAAUAAACAUUCAGAGAUCAAGUAAGGGGACAAAACUUUUCGAUGGUUGUAAUGAAAAAUCACGAUUUAAUGGUUAUUUUAACUCCGAUUUUGAUGAUUUUUUACUGCUACACUCCUUGACCCGAUAUGAAUACAAUGAACUAAUUCGAUCGUCAAUUUAAAAUAUAUAUUUUCUAACAAAAACCCAAUCCGAACAACAAUAAUAUAUUUUUCUAAUAAAAAUCCGAUCCGAUCUAAAAUAAUAAGUUUAAAGCUACUUAAUAAAUAUAUAUACCGUUUAAUUUCUUAAGUGUUAUGCAUACAAAAUAAAAAACAAAAAUAAAUUGGUUUAGGUGACAAAAUGUUUGGAUUACGUCAUGCAAAGAUUCUAAAAAAUAAUUUUUUUAUUCUAUUUAUUUUUGUAGGACUUUGCGCGACGAAGUUUACUUUUCGUCGCGCAAAGUCACUUUGAGCGACGAAUUAUUUUUCGUCGCGCAAAAUUGGUCGCGCAAGACUUUGAGCGACGAUGUAUUGUCGUCGCGCAAAAGUUUGUCGCGCAAAGUGACUUUGCGCGACGAAUUAUUUUUCGUCGCGCAAAAUUUGGUCGCACAAGACUUUGAGCGACGAAAUUUCAAGUUUCGUCGCGCAAAGUAACUUUGAGCGACGAAUAAUUUUUCGUCGCGCAAAAUUUGGUCGCGCAAGGGGUUUUUUUUACUAGUGAAGUGUAUUAAAAGAUGCAUUUACAAACAAGUAUGGAAGAAAACUAAUCCCCAAUUAUGAAAAAUAAGUAUAGCCAUUCGGCUGUACUGUUUUUAAAAAAGCCUAUUUAUAUAUGCUAAAAAAAGGACCCGCUUAGCGCUAGGGGCCAUCUGUCAAAACAAUAAAGCCAGGCGGCUAUACUAGGAAAACAAAACCCAAGUCUAGCCGCGCGGUUAUACUAUUUUUAAAAAUAAUUAAAAAAGAAAAACCCAGUAAAGCCGACCGGAUAUACCAUUUAAAAUAAAAAAAAUAUAGGAUAGCCGUGCGGCUAUAUUAUAAAAAAUGGGUUUCUGCUGCAGGUGUUGAACGAUCCACUCUAAACAGGUGUGGGCUUACAGGGCUAGGGCUCAUAAUAAGUAUAGCCGAGCUGUUGUACUAUUUUUGGAAAAAAAUAAAAGAACCGGGUAUAACCGCUUGACAAUACUAUAUAUAUAUAAAAAAAGGACCCUCUUAGUCUUAGGGCUAGGCGCCAGCCGAGCGGCUAUACUAUUUUAAAAAAAAUUAGGGAAGAACGGGUAUAGCAGCCCCGUGAGACUAUUUUUAAAAAAUUGGGGAAAAAAGCAGAUGUGAUAUUGCUCUUGCUUUUUCUUGAGUCUGAACGUGGUUGCCCAUUUUUCUCAAGUUGAUUAAUAGAAGGAAGAUGCUCAAAUUACUCAAUGAUGAUUUGAAUUUAAUUAUUGGAGUCACACAAUGCAUAACUGUUUGAAAGUUUUCACUUCAUUCUUAUUUGCAUUUCACUUCAACCGAUUAUAGCCAGAAUGGCCAAGUAAGCUGCUCCUGCUAAAAAGCCAUAAAAGGCUGUCAAAGUUUCUACUGUGAUGGAUACUAAGAAUGUAAGUUAUUAAUAAACUGGUUUAUGGGAUUUUUGGUGCUUAAAUUUUCCUGAAAUGUUGAUUGUCCUACUUAUAAUUUAUUUAACAGAUACUAAUGUGACAUUUUGUUCUUGCAGAGGCUGAGUUCAAAAAUCAACUAUGAAGCUUUGGAUAAAUUAAAUGAAGAGCUUGUAAACAUCUUUUAUGUCUUAUUUUAGAAUCAAUUUUGCUUUAUUCAUGCUUUGCAAAUCCCAUAUUAUGUUCUGUCAACACUUAAGGUCUCGUUAACUGAUGCACAGACUACAAGCGACUAAAAGCCAAUAAAAUCUAAUGGGACGUUUAAUUUCGAUUGUCAAAUGAUGUCACUUGUUCGAAAUAUUUUUUUGUUUUCUUAAUGUCUGGUUAGUGUGCAGACACCAAAUUCCUGUUUAAUGGAAUAAAGGUAUAUCCAAGUCCCACAAACUACUCGAGGAUUAAUACAUAAAAGAAAAAUCUUUGGAAGAUGGUAUAUUAUUAUUAAGCAUGGAUUAAGACAUGAAACUGUGAUAUCUGAAAAUCAAUCUGGUGGUUUACUGGAAUGAUCAGUUAACUAAUUGGGCAGUUAAUAGGGCAGUUAUAUGGUUCAAAGUUUUUUUUGUUUGUUUGUCAUUUUAUAAUGAAUUUGCAAUGUAGUUCCUAGUUAAAAAUCCUGGUAAGUUUUAGAAAAUGGAGGUAUCUCUCUGCGAGUAAUUGCCUGAACUUUAAUAGAUACCGAAUUUGAUUCAUUUGAUCUUUUUCUUCAUGUGUAAAAUCAGGGUUAUGCACCGACAUUUGAGGAAGGCACAAAGUCUGAUUGAGGCAGUCUUGGUGAUAUGCAACUGUCAAAUGAGAAGAACAAUCGUGAUGAUGAGUUUGAGUAUGAAAGUAAUGGUUACAGUGAAGAGGCUGAAGCCAGCCAAGGCCAAGAUGACGAUUCAUAUGUUGCAAAUGACAAAUAUAAUGGAUACAAUUACGAUGAUGAAUGCAAUUAUGAUGAGGAAUGCGAUUUUGAAGAAUUGACUUAAAUAAUCAACAUUUUUUUCCUUGAUUUAUAUUAUUUUUUCAUGAACCAGUUGUAUCAUGUUACGAUCUCAGUAAUACCAAAUUCUAAUAAUGUUCGGAACUACAACUUUCUCGGCAGCCAAAUAGAUCCUUAACUUUAUUUUGGAUAGAACAGCUAUGUAAGUUUUGAAUUUUCUUUUUAUUUGGGAAAUGGGUUGAAUUUCCUCCAUUUGUUUUGCAGUUUCAGCGGCUAUACUAUUUUUAGAAAAACAUAUAUAUAUAUAUAUAACCCAGUAACGCUGUGGUUAUAUAUAUAUUUUUUUAAAUCUAAUUUUUUAGAAAUAUUAAUAAAACCAAGUAUAGCCGACCGGCUAUACUAUAUUUUUAAAUAAAAUAAAAAAAGGGGUUGGCAGACAUUAAAUAGUUCCCAUGUUUGUUUCGAUAGUAACUUAUUAUUAUUACUAUGUUAUUUGUUCCAAAACCAGUCAUAAAUGUGUUUUUUUAUUUGUCAAAAUAGGUGACCUAAUAUUAAACAAAAAACAAUCACACGCCAGGAGACAAAGAGAUUGUGGGCUAAUAUUUUUUGGAGUAGGAUUAGCUUAUAAAAUUUGUACUAAGUUUAGUAUUUUAAAAAUUUUACACCGUACUAGAGCCCAGCCUAGCCUGUACAUGGAUCCGUUCUUAUUCAGGGGGCAAGUGAGACUCAAAUGCAUUUUCAGGGAGUAUACAAAAACAAAAAAAAUAAAAUAAAAAAAAGGAAGCAAAAUAUUAAUACAGAAAGAGAAAAUGGAAUGGGAAAGUCAAUAAAAAAUUAAUUACCAUAUAUCAUUACAUUAAAAAUUAGUUGUUUCUUUAUUUUCUGAUUCAAAGACAUUUGAAUAUUUUAAAAGUCUAGCCGAGCGGCUAUACUCUUUUAGAUACACGAAGCAUGCACUCGCAGGGUACGGAAGUUGCACUCGCAGUCAAGCCAUUUCGCUUCUCUAUCAACUCAAGCUUCGAUUUGUUUUCUUUGGUUUCGCCUGCUUCGUCCUCCGGGAUCGGCAACGGAAAAAGACCCAACCCGCCAUGGCGGCCGCCUAGCUACCGCCUAGCCGCCUAGCGACCGCCUAGCCGCCUCGCGCCCGCCUAGCGACCGCCUAGCCGCCUUGAGCUUUCCUAGCGACAGCCUAGCCGCCUCGAGCCCGCCUAGCGACCGCCUAGCCACCAAGCCGCCCGCCUAGACCGAUUUUUCGAACACUGCGAUUGACUGAAAGUCUGAAACAACAAUGGCCGCUUUCAGUGUCCUUUGGCUUCUUUUGCAGCCUAUGCUUUCUCAGCUGCUUCUGGAGUUUGAAUCGUGGUUGCAGAUAUUGACGAUGCAGAGGUAGGCAGAUAAUUAUAUAUAUAUUGCUCUUGCUUUUCUUGAGUUUGAAUCGCGGUUGCCCAUUUUUCUCAAGUUGAUGAAUAGAAGGUAGAUGCUCAUAUUCCUCAAUGAUGAUUUGAAUUUAAUUUACAUAUCAAUGCUCUUGGAAUAUCCUUUCAUGGUUAUUGUGAAAAGUUUUGUUAAAAAUUAAUGAAAGACAACAGCAGUGAUCCUGAAACUGAAAGCUACCCCCUGCCCAUGAUCCAUCAGCUUUCUUCAAGAUCACUUCCAUCAUAGCCACUUGGUAUAUAGUGCUUGGUCUAGACUUAUCUGUAAACUGCUGUCUUUUGAUUUGGAUUUGUAUAUGAUUGCUGCUUCAAUUUUUUAUUUUUGGAAUUUUGACAUGGAAGCAAUGAUGCUUGUGGUUUGUAGGUUGUUGGGUACCUUAACAUCAAGCAGGCGGCGCUGUUCAAAAGAAUGAUUUGGGAAGCAAUGAACAAGGACUAUGAUAAGGUGAUGCCUUUGGAAAUCCAUAAAUUUUAUCAUAUGUGUGUUCACAGGGAUUCGGUGCAAUGCUAGGGGCUUUCUGUUUGUUCCGUGGUUUCUUUUUAUUUGUUGUCUAUAUUUUUGGCUUUUGAGUCUUUAGAUUGAAAAUCAUUGAGAUUAUGUAGUUAAUCAUGAUUAUCAGCCCCUGCGUUAUUUGCCUCUUCAUUCUCCUUAGCUCUGUGAUUGUGCAGGAAUUCUUCACUUUUAAAACUGUCCUCGUUGUUUGCUGCAUGUCAUAUGUGCAUUGUGAUCUGAAGCAUAGGCUCGGAAGUCUCAUCCAGCUUAGAGUUCUUGCCUAGUUCUGAGCUGUUAUUUGAGUCACACACUGCAUAACUGUGUUGAAAGUUUUCACUUCAAUCUUAUUUGCAUUUGACUUAUUUUUUUGAUCUUUCGACUAUUUGUAUAUGUUUUACUGCCAGCAUUGAGUCUUAUGUAUUGAUCUCUAUAUGCAACUAUAAAAUUGGCAGGGAAAGAGUAGAAAACGAGCCAGAAUGGCCAAGAAAGCUGCUCCUGCUAAAAAGCCAGAAAAGGCUGUCAAAGUUUCUACUGUGAUGGAUACUAAGAAUGUAAGUUAAUAUUAAACUGGUUUAUGGGAUUUUGGUGCUUAAAUUUUCCUGCAAUGUUGAUUGUCUUACUUAUAAUUUAUUUAACAGAUACUAAUGUGACAUUUUGUUUUUGCAGAGGCUGAGUUCAAAAAUCAACUAUGAAGCUUUGGAUAAAUUAAAUGAAGAGCUUGUAAGCAUCUUCUGUCUUAUUUUAGUAUCAAUUUUUCUUUAUUCAUGCUUUGUAAAUUCCAUAUUAUGUUCUGUCAACGCCCAAGGUCUCGUUAACUGAUGCACAGACUACAAGCGACUAAAAGCCAAUAAAAUCUAAUGGGACGUUUAAUUUCGAUUGUUCAAUAUAUUUUUUGUUCUUAAUGGCUGGUUAGUGGGCAGACACCAAAUUCCAGUUUAAUGGAAUAAAGGUAUAUAUACAGGUGUCACAAACCAUGGCCAGAUAGAACUUAAUACGUAAAAGAAUGAUCAAUUGUGCAGGUUGUUUACUUAUUGGGCAAUUAAUUGGAGACUUAAAAAAAAGGAAAAUCUUUCAUCUUUUUACAUGGUUAAUAGUUUUUUUUUGCCAUGCAAUGCAGUUCCUAGUUAGAAAUCCUGGUAAUGUUUUAGAGAAUGGUGUCUUUCUGCGAGUAAUUGCUAGAACCUUUUCUAAUUUUUUUUUUCCCCAUGUGUAAAAUCAGGGUUAAGCACCUGCAUUCGAAGAAGGCACAAGGUCUAAUUGUGGCAGUCAUGGUGAUAUGCAACUGUCAAAUGAGAAGAACAGUUUUGAAGGCAGCCAUGGUGAUGAUUUUGAGCAUGAAAGAUAUUUGAAUAUUUUAAAAGUAUAGCCGAUUGGUUAUACGCUUUAGAUAUAUUCCAGACAAACAAGAAGCUUGCACUCGCAGUCAAGCCAUUUCGCUUCUCUAUCAACUCAAGCUUCGAUUUGUUUUCUUCGGUUUCGCCUGCCUUGUGCUCCGGGUUUGGCAACCAAAAAAGACCCAACCUGCCUAGCGACCGCCUAGCAUCCUCCCGCCCGCCUAGUGACCACCUAGCCGCCUCACGCCCGCCUAGCAGCAUCGCUCCUUCCUAGCGACAGCCUAGCCUCCUCGAGCCCGCCUAGCAACUGCCUAGCCACCUAGCCACACGCAUAGGCCGAUUUUUUGAACACUGCGAUUGACUGAAAGUCUGAAACAACAAAGGCCUCUUUCAGCGUCCUUUGGCUUCUUUUGUAGUCUAUGCUUUCUCAGCUGCUUCUGGAGUUUGAAUCGUGGUUGCAGAUAUUGACGAUGCAGAGGUAGGCAGAUAAUAAUAUAUAUACUUGCUUUUCUUGAGUUUGAAUCGUGGUUGCCCAUUUUUCUCAAGUUGAUGAAUAUAAGGUAGAUGCUCAUAUUCCUCAAUGAUGAUUUGAAUUUAAUCUACAUAUCAAUGCUCUUGGAAUAUCCUUCCAUGGUUAUUGUGAAAAUUUUGUUCUUGGUUCAUGACAAUCAACCACAUUUUCUAUGUUUGAAAAUAAAAGGUAAAAAUUAAUGAAAGACAAUAGCAGUGAUCCUGAAACUGAAAGCUACCCCCUGCCCAUGAUCCAUCAGCUUUCUUCAAGAUCACUUCCAAUAUAGCCACUUGGUGUAUAGUGCUUGGUCUAGACUUAUCUGUAAACUGCUGUUUUUUUAUUUGGAUUUGUAUAUGGUUUGUUGCUUCAAUUUUUUAUUUUUGGAAUUUUGACAUGGAAGGCAUGAUGCUUGUGGUUUGUAGGUUGUUGGGUACCUAAACAGCAAGAAGGCGGCCCAUCCAUUGUCAUUGCCAUUUCAUCUUCUUUCUCCAAGAACUUCUUUACCGACUCCAUACUUGUUUCCUCAUUUCUCUAGAAGCCUUAGCCAUCAGAGAAACAACAGAUAAAAGAGUCACAUUCAACAUCAAGGGUCCUAAUACCCUUGGCCCAAGCCAUUUGGAAACCUCUAAGGCGACUCCAUAACUCAGCCUCUGAAGGAAACAGGCAUUUAAAUUUAAACUCAUGGAUUUUAAGCUACAAUAUACAUGAAUCAAACAUUCAAAGAGGCGGAAGCGAAUUUUAGAUCUUAUUAAGCCUAAUGCUACCAAAUUCCAAGUAUCUUUCUAGGUCUAAUCUCACUUAUGCACAAAAGAAAAGGGAGGAUGAGACUUUCUUAUCCUAGAAGCUCUCUUGGAUGGUCUCCGAGUUUUCACCUUUGGAAAGACCUUCUUCCUUGUUGCUUGCUUUAUAGAGUCUUCACAAGGUACCAAAGUAGAUACCCUGUAGUUCAUACACAUAAACGUAGUGUAAGAGAUGAAGAAGAUGACCAAGAGGAGGUAAGGUGCUAGCCCUCUCCUCUUGGUGACUGGUCCUAGCAUGGUAGAGUGGAGAUUUCUCUCCUCUCAAACCCACUCCAAAGUUGGAUUCUUCAAACCCUAGAAAGAAAACGGUCUAUGGCUUAUAUAAGCCAAUACAAAAGAUGAAGCAAAACCCCGUCCUUGUAUUUUAGCCAUAGUGUUUCUUAAGCUCAUUUAACUUAUGUUGUCAUACAACACAUGUUCUCUUGGGCUCAUUUAAUUCUAAUUUUUUUAGAUCUUGAAAAUAGUAUAGAGUUCAAUACCAAACAAGUUUAUGAUCUUAAAAUCUCUCUUUAAAAACUCAUGUUUUUAACAAGAAUCAUAGUUUUAAGAUCACUCUUUGAAAACUCGUGUUUUUAACAAGAAUCAUAGUUUUUGAAUUUACUUUUUUAAGUAGGAUACAAAACAGAGCUUAAAGCUCCAAAAAUAUUAAGGCUUAUUUUAUGAUAUGCCCCCUGAAAGUGUAUUUGAGUCAUGCUAUGCACUAAGUCUGUACAUGGAUUCGUCCUUGUUCAAGGGGCAGAGUGAGACUCAAAUACAUUUUCAGGGGUUGUGUAAAAAAAUAAGCUAAAUAUUAAUACAGAGAGAGAAAAUGGAAUGGGGAAGUCAAUAAAAAAUUAAUCACAAUAUAUUAUUAUAUAAAAAUAUAUAAUAAAAAAAUUAGUUUGUUUAAUCUUAGCCAUUCAUUCUACUCUAAUCUAAUGGUUGAAAACUUAAAAGAAGGAUAAUUAUCUGGAAGAAGGAUAAUUAUCUGGUAAAAGAAUAAUUUUGUUGAAAAAAUCGAUUCUAUGAUGACGUUAGUAAGAGCACUUCCUCCUAUUUGCCAUGGCAAAUGGCAAGGGCAAGGUAAGGGUUGUUUCUAUUCAUGUGAAUAGUGGCAGCCCUUGCAAAAGGCUUGUGGUAUUUCCACCCAUUGCCAUGGCAACCUAAAGGCAACCACUAUUCACAUGAGAUAUGAGGAGAUGAAUUUUUAUAGAGUUUUGGUGUGGGAAGUGAAUAAUAUGACUAAGUAUUUAUUUUUAAAAAAUUCUGAAAUUCUUAGUAUUUUUUAUAUUUUUUUAAAAAAAUUCGUUGCUAACGUUAUCACUGACGUCAGCAAACCUAGACAACAGCCCAAGCUAUUUUUGCCUUUGAGCUUGCCCCGGGUUGUGAAGUCCACCAGCUGCUCGAGCUGCAUUUGCCCGCUGGAAACUACUUCUUGGGCUAGGCCCCACCUUGCCUGGGCUGGGGGAUCCUCUGGAAUUGUUGUAAUUGUAGGGCUCAGUUUCCACAUCAUCAAACUGUCGGCAAUUCAUCACCUUUGACAAUUUGACAUUUUGUCGUCCAAAGUAUUUAAUAAGGCCUUGUUUCUUUAUUGCCAAUUCAAUGACAGUCGGAUUAAAAUACACAAAAUCAAGGACGUGUAGACUUCGUCUCGUAGAAAAGUGGUCGAAGAAAUGAAUGGUCUUGUGUUAUUCGGAUCUCACAUUAUUAUCUCUCUCAGAAAAAUUAAUUUUCUAAUUCAAUGAAGAGCGCAUCCGUCCUUCACUUUAAUAAAUUCGUGAACAAGAAAAAGUAUUAAAUUGGAAAAGUCAUGAGAUGAGUAUCGAAUAUUUCAAGCUCUAAAAAUUAAUUAAAUGGCUCAACGAUAAUAAUAAUAAUAUUCAAUGUGGAUGUCACUUGUCAAAGAAUUAGUCCACUGCAAGUGGGAACUUGGAAACGUGGCAACCAUCUGAUCAUAUGCCACUUGGAAAGAAAGAAAAAAAAAAUCUAUGCAAGACUUUUGGGGUCAACGUAGUCUUGAUGGAGUUGUUAACGUUGUCUUUCUCAGUGACCCAAAAAUAAUUUUCAACAGAUAUAUGUAUGAAUAGAAAGUGGUCAAUAGUUCAUGUUUGAAAAUCGUUUUUCUCUACUCUUUGCGUUAGAAUAAGUAGUUUGGGAACCGUUGACAAUAACAUGAUCAAUUUGAGGAGGAUGUUGAAGCAACCAUGGCCUCUUUCAGCGUCCUUUUGCAGUCUAUGCUUUCUCAGCUGCUUCUGGUUUCAAGUAUCCAUGGCUCAAAAUGCUACUACCGAUCCAUCUGAAGGUACAGAAUAUAUAUUUUUUGUUUUUUAUUUUGUUUUUGUUUUUUUGUUUCCUUUUGCAACUUAAGUACGUUAUGUGAUGUGUACACAACGAUUGAAUUGAGAGUGCAGUGACGGCGCUGCUCUCAAUAUUCCGGCAUUGGGAAAUGCAAGCCCUGCCUAUCCGUGGAGGAGAGCCAUGCAUUGGAUUUGCCAUCAAUGGAAGCGAGUUUGAAAAGCCAGAGAAUAAUCCAGCCGUCAGUUGUGACUGUACUUAUGACAAAAAUACUACCUGCCACAUUACCAAACUGUAUGUUACCCUCCUCCUCCCUCUCUCUCUCUCUCUCUCUCUCUCCAUAUUCUUUAGUCUUGUGUUGUGGACUGUAGCAAAUCAAUUAAUUAUCUAGUUUAGAAAACUAAGCAGAACAUGCCUGAUAUAUCAAUUGUAAUAUUAAGUGCCUAACUCCUCAAUCUUUUUUCUUUCCAGUCGAGUUCAUGCUCUGAACAAACGAGGGAUGUUUCCAAAAGAAUUUGAAGCUUUAAGAUAUCUGGCCGUUUUGUAUGAAGUUUUUCCAACCCCCUUCUCUGUUGUUUGGUUUAUCGCAGUUAACAUUUUCAUAUAAAAGACACAGGUUUCUUACCUUUCAAAAUUGUCACGAAUAUUUUUUAUACUCAGAGAUUAAUCGCUGGUCAUUGCAUUUUGUUUCAAUUCUUGUAGGAAACUUGAUCAUAACUAUUUCACCGGUCCCCUACCAGCAUUCAUCGGCAAUAUGUCUGCGUUGACGGUAUUGUAAGUAGUGAAACGCCAUUUGUUUUAGUAUAAAUUUUUCAUCUGUCAAAUACUUUGAUGAGUCUCAUUUCCCAUGUACAAUUUCAAUGAUUGACUUACUAGUUAUAGUGCUAAUAUCUUGAAUUAGUUUAUACAUAAAAUUAUUCUGUUUUUAUCUUGAAUUAUAAACGGGUGCUAAUAUCUUUAAUUGAUAUUUCCAUUCAGGUCAGUUUCCCACAAUUCGUUCUCUGGGCCCAUCCCCAAGGAGCUUGGAAACCUUAAGGAGCUAUUUAUGCUGUAAGCAAUGAAACAUAAGAAAACACAAUUAAAUUUUGUGUUUUAGACAUGUUAAAUAUAGAACCCCCUAUCAUUUAAAUCUAUACCUCUUCAACAUGACUUGUUGUAGGUCCUUUGGAUCAAAUAAUUUCUCCGGAACACUCCCUCCAGAACUUGGUAACUUAGUCAAUCUCAGGCUAUUGUGAGUGCUUCAUUUAACUCAUCGAAUUUGAAUCACAUGUUGCAAUGUGUAAUUAUUUUCUUUUAAAGGAGCGGUUUAUUUGUUAAUUCAUUAUCGAUGAGCAAGGAAUGCAUUUAUCGUAUGAAAUUGGUAGCAAACAAGUGUAUUAUUUUCACAGUUACAUGGACAGCUGUGGACUCGGUGGAGAAAUUCCUUCAACAUUUGCUAAGCUCAUCAACAUGAAAGAACUGUAAGUUUUUUGUUUAUUCAGUACUUUGAGAUUUCUAUUCUGGGAUGAGCUUACUAUGAGUCAACUUUUUGAAUUUUAGCUAUGCAUCAGACAAUCCUGUCUCAGGAAAGAUACCUUCUUUCAUUGGGAAUUGGAGAAAUCUAACUUCUUUGUAAGUAUGGCAAACUUUUAACCUUCUGCAGUUUAUGAAAGCACAUCUGCAUGGCUGAGAUGGGUCUUUUAUUCACAAGCAUCUUAAAUGUUUUUGUAGGAGAUUUCAAGGGAACUCUUUUGAAGGUCCAAUACCAACCAGUUUUUCUCAACUGACUUCAUUGGAAUCCAUGUAAGGGCAAAUGCUUAAUACAUUUUAAACUCUCUCUCUCUCUCUCUCUCUCUCUCUCCCUCUCCUCCUUUUACUGGGCAUCAUUUAUGUUUGUGUAUGAUAAUGAAGGCGAAUCAGUGAUAUAUAUUAUGUGAGCUCGUCUCUUGAUUUCAUAAGAAAUUUGAAGAACUUAACUGAUUUGUAAGUUAACACCUCUUUCAUUCACGCACUGUGAUCAAACUUCGUUUUCCUUUUCAAAUUGAAAAUCUUACUCCAUUUACUUGUCCACUAAUUUUUUUUGGUGGUGUAACAGAGUUCUACGGAAUACAUUAAUCAAUGGUAGCAUCCCUACUGAUUUUGGAGAAUAUCAACGUUUAAAGAUACUGUACGUUCCAGCAGAUAUAUAAGCUUGAAUCCCAAAGAUACCAAUUAAUUUUCUUAUCAUUCUAAUUGUUCCUCUAACCUAUCACUCAUGUUGCAGGGAUCUGGGUUUCAACAAUUUAACAGGCCAACUCCCAAGUUCUUUGUUCAACAUGAGUUCUCUUACAUAUUUGUAAUAAGGCCUGCCUUCAUUAUUCCCCUUUUCUGUACUUAUGCCAUUGAAUUUCCUGCUCAGAAACUUAGUCGUUCAUAUGACCUUUUUCUUGUUCUUUGUUUCUUUGUUUCUUUUUUUUCUUUUUUUUCCUUGGGUGCCUCCUAUAAUUGAUAUGGCCAGAUUUCUUGGAAACAAUAGUCUGUCUGGACCUCUUCCAAGCCAAAAGAGCAAUCAACUUCAGACUAUGUAAGUCCUAAUGUCAUAAAAGUAUUCUAUAUGUACUGGCAAUGAAACCAUUACUCUGUGUGUCUGUCUGCGCGCAUUCUGGCAGCCUUUUUCUUACUUAAAUUCCUUUGAAUUUUCAUGCAUUUUUGUGCCUUCUCAUUCUGUAUUGUUAUGUGCAGAGAUUUGUCUUACAACUAUUUCUCAGGAAGCUUUCCCCCAUGGGUAACCACAAUAUCGCAACUGUACGUCUCCUUUUUAUCUUUCACCUUCAUUUUGAGGGUCCAAAUCACCUUCAUUGUGCAUAUAUAAUACCACAUGAAUGAAAUUCAAUAAAUUAGAAGGGAUGGAUUUGAAGUACUGAUAUGUGUUGAGAUUGUGAACACGAAAUUUUCAUCUUCAUAUGUGGAUUGAUUAAUGAUUUUAUGCAGGAAUUUAGUGGUCAACAACUUCACAUUUGACAGUUCAAACAUAACGUGAGUUGAAUCGAAAUACCCUUUUUUUAAGACGGAUCGUUCAAACAUAAAGUGAUUGCUAUUACACUUUCGCAGUUUAUUGGAUUCUUCCACUACAGUUUAAUUAUUAUAAAUAAUAAUUGUUCUCUGUGUUUACAGUCUUCCUGGAUUGAAUUGCCUCCAGAGGAAUUUUCCAUGCAAUCGAAAUACCCCACGAUGUAAUCUUCUUCUAUAUUUCACUAGCAUUUAUUUCUUUAAUGCAAGAUAAUGUUACAGCAAUAGGCAUUGCUUAUCUCAUUAUGUAUACAUGUUGUAGGAAUGUCUUGAUAAAUCUAGUAAGCAUAUCUUGUGCUAUUACAUCAGUUUGAAGUUUUUUCACUAAUCAAAGCUUGUGCUAUUAAAUUGAAUUGUACAGAUACAAACUUCUCAAUCAAGUGUGGAGGACCACAAAUGAGAGGAAAUGACGGCAUAUUGUAUGAGGCUGAAGACUCAGCUCUUGGCCCAGCAACAUUUAAUGUAAACAGUGCACAGAACUGGGCUGUUAGCAAUGCGGGUUUUUCUGAUAAUUUGACUCAAUCAUUUGUGGAAACCACCCUUAAGCAAGUCUCCGGUGCAGAUUUGACACCAGAGCUUUUCGAGACUUCAAGAGUGUCCCUAGGUUCACUUAGAUACUAUGGCCUGGGUCUUCAUAAUGGACCUUAUACUGUAACAUUGCAAUUUGCAGAAACGGUUUUUGAUAGCCGUGAUACACAAACUUCGCAAAGUCUAGGAAGGCGUGUAUUUGAUAUCUAUAUUCAAGUAAGGCUGCUAAUAAAGAAAAAAAAAACUUAAGCUAAUUAAAGUAAAGGCAACCUCAUCAGACAGAAUUAUUUAACUAUCUCUUCAUUUGCUUCCUAGGGGAACCUCAUAAGGAAGGACUUCGACAUAUCGAAUGAGGCAGGUGGGGUUAACAGAGCAGUUGCGAGACCCUUCAACGUUACUGUGACAGAGAAUUACCUAGAUAUUCAUCUGUUCUGGGCUGGUAAGGGAACAUGCUGCAUACCUGAACAAGGUAAUUAUGGCCCGCUAAUAUCAGCUGUCCAUGCUGCUUCAGGUAUAUAAUAUAAUGUCGAGUUAUGAAGAUUUCCUAUGAAUGGUUUAAAUGUAUUUAUGUGCUGUCAAUUGAUUGACACACUGAACAAUUAUUAUGUUUCAUUGCUCAGAUCUUGCACCAACUACUCCAGGAAAGAAGAGCAGGACUGGGUUGAUAGUUGGUAUUGCAGUCCCUGUCGGGGUAGUGAUCUUGCUAUUAUUAUUUGUAGUUUUAUAUAUGCGGAGAAAAACAUCAGAAAAAGAUGACGAUGAAGGUAAAAGAGCAAUGAGCAUAUUAUUAAGGGUUAAUUCUGCAUGCGGUUAUAGGUUCUUUCUAGUGUUGAUAAGCAUAUUUGAGAGAAAAUACUUCUGAUGUGUUGUUUCGAAAUUAAAACCUAUGUCAUGCUCUCUUUCGAAUAUGCAGAUCUUCUAGGAUUAGGUCCCCGACCAAAUACUUUCAGUUAUGCUGAGUUGAGAGCUGCAACAGAAGAUUUUAAUCCUUCAAAUAAGCUAGGAGAGGGAGGAUAUGGACCUGUUUAUAAGGUGAAAUCUAUUUUGCAUCAAUAUCUGCUACUUUAAAGUAACGACUUUGACUUCUUACAAAAAGAAAUUGAGAGAGAAGCAAAAUAGAUUCUUUCUACUUCCCUUUCAUGUCACUGAAAGGUAUUUCUGUUUAUAGGGUACACUUUCUGAUGGGAGGGUAGUGGCUGUGAAGCAACUUUCAGUAGCAUCUCACCAAGGGAAGAGUCAAUUUGUAACCGAGAUUGCUACGAUAUCUACAGUCCAACAUCGCAAUCUAGUGAAAUUGUACGGAUGCUGCAUUGAAGGAAGCCACCGUAUUUUGGUUUAUGAGUAUCUUGAAAACAAGAGCCUUGAUCAGGCACUUUUUGGUAGGUUUUAUAGAAACAGAGUACUCUGCAGUUUCAAGUACUCUAAACGUUCAUCCAAGUUUUUUAUGCAACCAUUUGUUAUAAUUUUUCUCUACUGAGGAGUGAAGUUUAAAGAAACCAGAAGAGUAAUUAUCUGAAUCAGAAUAUUCUGCAGUUUGAAGUACUCUGAAGUUACAUCCAAGUUUUUUCCUUGAGAAUAAAUCUUCUUUCACUGCCUUGGUUUUCUGCUGGAAAAUAAAGAAAGAAGAAAACUACUGCUAGUUAUAUUUUAUUAGUUUUUGCUCUGUACAAGGGAUUAUUCAAUUAAGUAUCCUGAACAAUUAAAAUAUGUUAAACCAGCCCAAUUCUCAUAUCAAAACAUAUUUUCAUUAAUUUUAUUUUUCCUUUUUCUCUUAUAUGUGCAUUGGUUGUUUUUCCAUGUAAUGUUUCAGGAAGAAAUGACUUGCACCUUGACUGGCCUACCCGCUUUAAUAUAUUAUUAGGAACAGCAAGAGGACUUGCUUACCUUCAUGAGGAGUCAAAGCCCAGGAUUGUACAUCGAGACGUCAAAGCCAGUAAUAUUUUGCUAGAUGCAGAACUCUCCCCAAAAAUAUCAGAUUUUGGAUGGGCAAAGCUUUAUGAUGACAAGAAAACACACAUGAGCACCCGGGUUG